GACGAACGCUGGCGGCGUGCUUAACACAUGCAAGUCGAACGGAAAGGCCCUGCUUUUGUGGGGUGCUCGAGUGGCGAACAGGUGAGUAACACGUGAGUAACCUGCCCUUGACUUUGGGAUAACUUCAGGAAACUGGGGCUAAUACCGGAUAGGAGCUCCUGCUGCAUGGUGGGGGUUGGAAAGUUUCGGCGGUUGGGGAUGGACUCGCGGCUUAUCAGCUUGUUGGUGGGGUAGUGGCUUACCAAGGCUUUGACGGGUAGCCGGCCUGAGAGGGUGACCGGCCACAUUGGGACUGAGAUACGGCCCAGACUCCUACGGGAGGCAGCAGUGGGGAAUAUUGCACAAUGGGCGGAAGCCUGAUGCAGCAACGCCGCGUGCGGGAUGACGGCCUUCGGGUUGUAAACCGCUUUCGCCUGUGACGAAGCGUGAGUGACGGUAAUGGGUAAAGAAGCACCGGCUAACUACGUGCCAGCAGCCGCGGUGAUACGUAGGGUGCGAGCGUUGUCCGGAUUUAUUGGGCGUAAAGGGCUCGUAGGUGGUUGAUCGCGUCGGAAGUGUAAUCUUGGGGCUUAACCCUGAGCGUGCUUUCGAUACGGGUUGACUUGAGGAAGGUAGGGGAGAAUGGAAUUCCUGGUGGAGCGGUGGAAUGCGCAGAUAUCAGGAGGAACACCAGUGGCGAAGGCGGUUCUCUGGGCCUUUCCUGACGCUGAGGAGCGAAAGCGUGGGGAGCGAACAGGCUUAGAUACCUGGGUAGUCCACGCUGUAAACGGUGGGUACUAGGUGUGGGGUCCAUUCCACGGGUUCCGUGCCGUAGCUAACGCUUUAAGUACCCCGCCUGGGGAGUACGGCCGCAAGGCUAAAACUCAAAGGAAUUGACGGGGCCCCGCACAAGCGGCGGAGCAUGCGGAUUAAUUCGAUGCAACGCGUAGAACCUUACCUGGGUUUGACAUGGAUCGGGAGUGCUCAGAGAUGGGUGUGCCUCUUUUGGGGUCGGUUCACAGGUGGUGCAUGGCUGUCGUCAGCUCGUGUCGUGAGAUGUUGGGUUAAGUCCCGCAACGAGCGCAACCCUUGUUCACUGUUGCCAGCACGUUAUGGUGGGGACUCAGUGGAGACCGCCGGGGUCAACUCGGAGGAAGGUGGGGAUGACGUCAAGUCAUCAUGCCCCUUAUGUCCAGGGCUUCACGCAUGCUACAAUGGCUGGUACAGAGAGUGGCGAGUCUGUGAGGGUGAGCGAAUCUCGGAAAGCCGGUCUCAGUUCGGAUUGGGGUCUGCAACUCGACCUCAUGAAGUCGGAGUCGCUAGUAAUCGCAGAUCAGCAACGCUGCGGUGAAUACGUUCCCGGG
rnacentral:rRNA from 1 species